UCCCUGGUGGUUCAGAUGGUAAAGAGUCCUCCUGCAAAGCAGGAGACCCAGGUUUGAUCCCUGGCUUGGGAA
rnacentral:tRNA from 1 species